rnacentral:rRNA from 1 species
AGAGCGAACGCUGGCGGCAGGCUUAACACAUGCAAGUCGAGCGGGCGUAGCAAUACGUCAGCGGCAGACGGGUGAGUAACGCGUGGGAACAUACCUUUGGUUCGGAACAACACAGGGAAACUUGUGCUAAUACCGGAUAAGCCCUUACGGGGAAAGAUUUAUCGCCGAAAGAUUGGCCCGCGUCUGAUUAGCUAGUUGGUGAGGUAAUGGCUCACCAAGGCGACGAUCAGUAGCUGGUCUGAGAGGAUGAUCAGCCACAUUGGGACUGAGACACGGCCCAAACUCCUACGGGAGGCAGCAGUGGGGAAUAUUGGACAAUGGGCGCAAGCCUGAUCCAGCCAUGCCGCGUGAGUGAUGAAGGCCCUAGGGUUGUAAAGCUCUUUUGUGCGGGAAGAUAAUGACGGUACCGCAAGAAUAAGCCCCGACUAACUUCGUGCCAGCAGCCGC